rnacentral:rRNA from 1 species
AUUGAACGCUGGCGGCAGGCCUAACACAUGCAAGUCGAGCGAGCGGCGGACGGGUGAGUAAUGUCUGGGAAACUGUCCGAUGGAGGGGGAUAACUACUGGAAAAGGUAGCUCAUACCGCAUACCAUCAGAUGUGCCCAGAUGUGAUUAGCUAGUAGGUGGGGUAACGGCUCACCUAGGCGACGAGCCCUAGCUGGUCUGAGAGGAUGACCAGCCACACUGGAACGGAGACACGGUCCAGACUCCUACGGGAGGCAGCAGUGGGGAAUUUUGCACAAUGGGCGCAAGCCUGAUACAGCCAUGCCGCGUGUAUGAAGAAGGCCUUCGGGUUGUAAAGCACUUUCGGCGGUGAGGCGUUAUCUGCAGAAGAAGCACCGGCUAACUCCGUGCCAGCAGCCGCGGUAAUUC